AGGGCACCACCAGGAGUGGAGCCUGCGGCUUAAUUUGACUCAACACGGGAAAACUCACCCGGCCCGGACACUGGAAGGAUUGACAGAUUGAGAGCUCUUUCUUGAUUCAGUGGGUGGUGGUGCAUGGCCGUUCUUAGUUGGUGGAGCGAUUUGUCUGGUUAAUUCCGAUAACGAACGAGACUCUAGCCUACUAAAUAGAACAUUAGCUUACAUACGCCGGUGGUAUGAUUAACUUCUUAGAGGGACAGGCGGCGUUUCAGCCGCACGAAACAGAGCAAUAACAGGUCUGUGAUGCCCUUAGAUGUCCGGGGCCGCACGCGCGCUACACUGAAGUGAUCAGCGUGUAUAUAUUUAGCCUACUCUGUUAAGAGUGGGUAACCCAAUGAACCUUCUUCGUGAUUGGGAUAGGGGAUUGUAAUUAUUCCCCUUGAACGAGGAAUUCCCAGUAAGCGCGAGUCAUUAGCUCGCGUUGAUUACGUCCCUGCCCUUUGUACACACCGCCCGUCGCUACUACCGAUU
rnacentral:rRNA from 1 species